GGUGAGUAACGCGUAGGUAACCUACCUCAUAGCGGGGGAUAACUAUUGGAAACGAUAGCUAAUACCGCAUAAGAGAGACUAACGCAUGUUAGUAAUUUAAAAGGGGCAAUUGCUCCACUAUGAGAUGGACCUGCGUUGUAUUAGCUAGUUGGUGAGGUAAAGGCUCACCAAGGCGACGAUACAUAGCCGACCUUAGAGGGUGAUCGGCCACACUGGGACUGAGACACGGCCCAG
rnacentral:rRNA from 1 species